UACGGAGGAUGCGAGCGUUAUCCGGAUUUAUUGGGUUUAAAGGGUGCGCAGGCGGGCUGUUAAGCCGGCGGUAAAAAUUCAGGGCUCAACCCUGUCGAGCCGUCGGAACUGGCAGUCUUGAGUGGGCGAGAAGUAUGCGGAAUGCGUGGUGUAGCGGUGAAAUGCAUAGAUAUCACGCAGAACUCCGAUUGCGAAGGCAGCUUACUAAGCCAUAACUGACACUGAAGCACGAAAGCGUGGGGAUCAAACAGG
rnacentral:rRNA from 1 species